CGUGGGUAACCUGCCCAAGAGAUCGGGAUAACACCUGGAAACAGAUGCUAAUACCGGAUAACAACAGAUGAUGCCUAUCAACUGUUUAAAAGAUGGUUAUGCUAUCACUCUUGGAUGGACCUGCGGUGCAUUAGCUAGUUGGUAGGGUAACGGCCUACCAAGGCGAUGAUGCAUAGCCGAGUUGAGAGACUGAUCGGCCACAUUGGGACUGAGACACGGCCCAAACUCCUACGGGAGGCAGCAGAA
rnacentral:rRNA from 1 species